rnacentral:tRNA from 1 species
GCCUUCGUAGUGUAGUGGUCAGCAAUCUGGACGAGUAUUCCAGAGGUCGGUGGUUCGAGUCCCAGCGAAGGCG